rnacentral:rRNA from 1 species
UACGGGGGGGGGCAAGCGUUGUUCGGAAUUACUGGGCGUAAAGGGCUCGUAGGCGGCCAACUAAGUCAGACGUGAAAUCCCUCGGCUUAACCGGGGAACUGCGUCUGAUACUGGAUGGCUUGAGUUUGGGAGGGGGAUGCGGAAUUCCAGGUGUAGCGGUGAAAUGCGUAGAUAUUCGCAAGAACACCAGUGGCGAAGGCGGCUCACUGGCCCGAUACUGACGCUGAGGCACGAAAGCGUGGGGAGCGAACAGG